AGCCACACUCAUCCCCUGUGUGACUCCUGUCACUGGGGCUCCAAGCCAGACCGGGUGUCCAGCUGGAGGACCAGAUCAGAGGAACCAUGGCCCAGAGAGCUGUUGGUCAGUCUGACUCGUCCCGUCAGCUCUACCCGGCUCUCCUGAUGGUGGGCUGGAUCGUAGGCUGUGUGGUGGUCAUAUACUUUGUCUUUGCUUAGGAGAGAAAUUCAUGAAGGUCUGGCUGAUGGUUCUUCUCCUGGGCGCUGGAUGACGAUGGUGAUGAUGACGAUGGUGAUGAUGACGAUGGUGAUGAUGACGAUGGUGACAAGCUGCCAAGCAGAUCCUGUCCUGAUCGUAGCACACAGUCUGGUCGCCAUGGUAAAGAAGUAGACCUUCCUGUACAACACACCUAUAGCAGUGUCAUUAUGUGCUCUCCUUCUCUCUCUUUAUUCCUUUCCCUCUUGCUCUCUAUACAUAUUCUCUCUCUCAGUCAAACCUUGUUAGAGAAGUUGACUUUACCAUAGUUUUUGUUUACUCAGAACAAAGGUGAUUUGUUUUGUGUAUGUUAUAAGAAUAGUACAACUAUAAAAAAAGUGUGUCAACAUAUACAGUAUUAUGCGA